rnacentral:rRNA from 1 species
GCGGCGAGUGAGCGGCAAAAGCUCAAAUUUGAAACCCUCGGGAUUGUAAUUUGAAGAUUUGGCAUUGGAGAAAGCUAACCCAAGUUACUUGGAAUAGUACGUCAUAGAGGGUGACAACCCCGUCUGGCUAACCGUUCUCCAUGUAUUGCCUUAUCAAAGAGUCGAGUUGUUUGGGAAUGCAGCUCAAAGUGGGUGGUAAACUCCAUCUAAAGCUAAAUACUGGUGAGAGACCGAUAGCGAACAAGUACUGUGAAGGAAAGGUGAAAAGAACUUUGAAAAGAGAGUGAAAUAGUAUGUGAAAUUGUUGAUAGGGAAGGAAAUGAGUGGAGAGUGGUUUAGGUUUCAGCCUUCUUUCGAGGGGGUGCACUACCAACGCCGAGUCAUUGAUAGCGAGACAGGGGUUAUAAACGGACGGCACUUGUGCUAUUCUCCUAACCCCUCUACUGCCACCAACGACAUAAUCCACCCAUUUCACCCGUCUUGAAACACGGACC